rnacentral:misc_RNA from 1 species
CCCAACUAUCCCUAUUAAUCAUUACAUCGAUCCUAGAAACCAACAAAAUAGAAUGCGAUGUCCUAUUUCAUUAUUCCAUGCUAAUGUAUUCAAGCGUUGGCCUGCUUUAAACACUCUAAUUUUUUCAAGGUAACAGUCCUAAUUCCCCAAGACAUCAAAUGAAUGACAUCAUGGUUCCUUAGAAGGUGAGAACCGAUGGGACCAGUACAUACCGAUGGCAUGACCGAUCCAUCGAUCCCGAGGUUCAACUACGAGCUUUUUAACUGCAACAACUUUAAUAUACGCUAUUGGAGCUGGAAUUACCGCGGCUGCUGGCACCAGACUUGCCCUCCAA